rnacentral:rRNA from 1 species
GACGAACCGAGCGAACGUUGUUCGGAAUCACUGGGCUUAAAGGGCGCGUAGGCGGCUUACCAAGUCAGGGGUGAAAUGCCGAGGCUCAACCUCGGAACUGCCUUUGAUACUGGCGAUCUUAGAGUCCGGGAGAGGUGAGUGGAACUCCGAGUGUAGAGGUGAAAUUCGUAGAUAUUCGGAAGAACACCAGUGGCGAAGGCGGCUCACUGGCCCGGUACUGACGCUCAGGUGCGAAAGCGUGGGGAGCAAACAGG